GACGAACGCUGGCGGCGUGCUUAACACAUGCAAGUCGAGCGGAAAGGCCACUUCGGUGGUACUCGAGCGGCGAACGGGUGAGUAACACGUGAGUAAUCUGCCCUUCACUUCGGGAUAGCUCCGGGAAACCGGGAUUAAUACCGGAUAUGACUACCUUCGGCAUCGGGGGUGGUGGAAAGUUUUUUCGGUGGGGGAUGUGCUCGCGGCCUAUCAGCUUGAUGGUGGGGUAAUGGCCUACCAUGGCUUCGACGGGUAGCCGGCCUGAGAGGGUGACCGGCCACACUGGGACUGAGACACGGCCCAGACUCCUACGGGAGGCAGCAGUGGGGAAUAUUGGACAAUGGGCGGAAGCCUGAUCCAGCAACGCCGCGUGAGGGAUGACGGCCUUCGGGUUGUAAACCUCUUUCAGCACAGACGAAGCGAAAGUGACGGUAUGUGCAGAAGAAGGACCGGCCAACUACGUGCCAGCAGCCGCGGUAA
rnacentral:rRNA from 1 species